UCUGGUGGGUAGUUUGACCGGGGCGGUUUCCCCCCUAAGAGUAACGGAGGAGCACGCAGGUUUGCUAGUCCAGGUCGGACAUCAGUAGGUUAGUGCCGUGGCGUACGCUAGCUUGAUUGUGAGCGUGACGGCGCGAGCAGGUACGAAAGCAGGUCAUAUUGUUGUGGUGGUACUGACUGGAAGGGCCAUCGCGCAACGGAUAAAAGGUACUCUGGGGAUAACAGGCUGAUACCCCCCAAGAGUUCGUAUCGACGGCGGUGUUUGGCACCUCGAUGUCGGCUCAUCACAUCCUGGGGCUUAAGUAGGUCCCAAGGGUAUGGCUGUUCGCCAUUUAAAGUGGUACGCGAGCUGGGUUUAGAACGUCGUGAGACAGUUCGGUCCCUAUCUGCCGUGGGCGCUGGAGAAUUGAGGGGGGCUGCUCCUAGUACG
rnacentral:rRNA from 1 species